rnacentral:rRNA from 1 species
UACGUAGGGUGCAAGCGUUAAUCGGAAUUACUGGGCGUAAAGCGUGCGCAGGCGGUUUUGUAAGUCUGUCGUGAAAGCCCCGGGCUCAACCUGGGAAUUGCGAUGGAGACUGCAAGGCUAGAAUCUGGCAGAGGGGGGUAGAAUUCCACGUGUAGCAGUGAAAUGCGUAGAGAUGUGGAGGAACACCGAUGGCGAAGGCAGCCCCCUGGGUCAAGAUUGACGCUCAUGCACGAAAGCGUGGGGAUCAAACAGG